UAAAAGAGGCAUGACCUCCAUCAACUGACAAGCCUGGCCAUCCCUUUUGACCAGGAGAUCAGAUGUACAUCAAGAUCUUUAGAAGAAAGGUCACAUUAUUACCUCACUGGGAAGAACCAAAACACCUACACUGCCAUCAGAAGAAAUAUCCUCCUUGCCCUGGCUGGUUUGGCUCUGCAGUUAGAGCAUCAGCCUCUGGACUGAAGGUUCACAGGUUGGACAAAGAUCAAACACCCUCUUUUGCCAUUUUACCAACCCUGGCCAUCUUAACUAAUCAAUCUGCUUGUUGGUUGUGUCAACAUCUCAAUAGUGCCAAAGAACCUGAACAAGUUAGUGUUUGUUCUGCUGCUGUGAACACCUGAACUAAGGAGAUGAACAACAAGGUGUGGUAUCUACAACAAGACGAAUGUCAUUCUGUCUCCUCUUCUGUGUAUUAGUUUGUUUUUGUUGAAGCAUCUGUGAUUAAGUUACAGACAUCAUGAUGACAAAUCACCGGCAGCAGAAAUUGGAACAGUGAUCCCUGACAAUAUCCACUAGACUUAGGGGAAAAAAAUAGUCCUGUAUUUCAGAUGGACAUGAACAGGUAA